UGUUUUUCUUGACCAGAUCUGUGACUCUAAAGGAAGCAAACAUAAAUUGUGACGUCAUUCUUUAAUAUUUCACUUAAUGAUAUGCUCGGUGUCCCCUGUUUGGAUAUAUCGAGAACAAUUAAAUUGCCAUAUUUCCUUGACUUUGAACACUUCAAGAUUAACAUAAAUAGUGAUAUAAAUACUGACCAAAUAUACACCUAAACUAAUAGUAAUUGGUAUGCCUGUUUUAAAGCCCUAUGAAUUAAAUGGAGAAUUACUCUCACGCCAUUAAAAGAGAUCAAGCUUUGCCAUUAUAUCUUCAGACAGAACUGUUCACUUUUUAUCUUUUUUUGUUUGUUUUUGUUUUCAAAUUUGUUCUACCUUUGGGGUAAAAGUUGAAAUUGUAGAAAAGUUUAAAAGAUUGUACUUCGAAACCACAAUUUACCACAAAUAAUAGACGGUAAACAGCAGUGCUUUUUUGACAGAAUAAAUCAAUAGAACUAUAAAUAUGAUAAUGAUAUAAAUUAAUGACAGAGACCAUUUUCAAGGGAAAACAAGAUUGAUACUUUUGAAUUUACAUCUGUUGAAAUGCUAUUUCUGUCCUCAAUUUGCUUUGAAUGUUGUUGGGUUUAACGUCACAACGACACAGCUUUUGAUGGCGGAGGAAGACUCAAAGUGCCCUUCCGUGCAUUUUUUCAUCACCGAAUGGCACCUGGGUAGAACCACCGACCUUCCGUUAGCCAACGGGAUGGUUUCCUCAUAUGAAUUAUUUAACGCCCUGAGCGAGGCCUGAACCCACGUCGGUGAGGUGAAUGUGACUCAAUCAACAACCUUAACCACUUAGCCCUUUAGAACAAAUCAUAGAGAAAUAAAAGCAUAAAGUUCCAUCUUAUUUAAGAAAUUACUUUGCACUCUUUUAGAGCCUGUGACUGUGAAUUUGAAGAUAUUGUGGUAACAUGAACUGGAUGAUUUUUACUGUGUAAAUACAUUCGAAUAUGAACAAUUUUAUCACUGUUUAAUACAAAAGUACAGUUGUUUGUCGUAACAAUAACCCGCUUUUUAGGCAUAGUACUAGAGCCGAUUUCGCAAUCGAAUAUCGCCGGAAGUAGAACAUUUAUGUCAACACCGGUUUCGUAUUUUCACGUGAAAACGGCCGAAAACAGAGGUUAUCAACAAAUUAUAAGUUUACGGGUACCAUGAGGAUUUUUCAUGCAUUUAAACGAAAGAAGUACAAGCGAACAGAUGACACAUUAAAGUGGCUGCAGAAGAUUGAAAAGUUAGAUAGUGCAGGGGCAGUCAAAACAGUGGGAUAAUACUUCUAUAUAAUUUCCUUUUAAAGGCAAUUUAUACAGGAUGGUGUCCAACAUGUCUAGUCAGGUUGACAGAAGUGAAAGAUGAUCUGAUGGUACAACGAUGUACAAAUGAUACUCUUUAACAAGUUUAACAUGUCAAGGUGUAAAAUGUUCUGUGGAUUCAUAUGAUGAGAAUGCCAGUGUUGAUCUGUAUGACUUAAUUAAACACAGAUAUUGAUACCUUCAGAUAUAUACCUGUGAAACCUUCAGUGUCACCGUUCAGCUAUUGUUCAAGAUCAGUGUCUGCAGCUUGCAAAGUUUAGUAUAGAGGAGCUUUCUGAAUCAACUUUGUUACAUAUUCGCUGUUAUUGUAGGACACACAUGUAGGGAGCAGCAAGUCCUGUCCAGCCGAGCAUGUAAAUGUGAUUCAGAAACUUUGAGAAUAUGUAAACAUUACACUGUUAUAAUUUUCAAAAUACUGUGUCUUGUAGUGUAUCAGUACUGUUUUGUCUCAGUUUAUAGCACAGUAUGUGCAAAAAUCAAACUUAAGACCAUAGUGAUCAGUAUUAUUAAAAUCAUUAAUUAUUUGUAUGGUGACAAAAUUUAAUUUCAUGCAAUACCACAGUAAAACGUUAUAUAAUUUUCGCUUUUAAAGUUGUAAGUUUAAGGCUGGCAUAAAUUGUUUUUUUUCUUUCAUAAAUCUAAAAAGUGAUUGGCCAUUAUAACUGCAAUAUCAUUUUAGUAUGACAAAGUUUAUAUUGUUUAUCGUACGUGUCAUGGCCCACAACUCCUCCAUAUUACUUGUGUUUUGUCCUUUUUCAUUUCACUGAAGAAUAGGUAGAGGUAUUGCACAUCCAUUUUUUAGCAUCCUGAUUUUGUAAAGUGUUGUAUGUAAGGUUUUUUCUCGGAAUGUCUCAUCUAAAGGUGGGGAGAGGUAUUAAUUAUGCCUUCUCGUCUAUCCGCAUUAAGCCUGUCUGGCUUUAAGAGGACAAGCUACUGGCCAGAUUUUGAUGAAACUUCACAGGACUGUUCAGUACCAAGCAUAGUGUUGUGCUUAUCGCUUGCAUGUUUUGUUUUGAUGCACUAAAUUGCAGCCAGAUCUAAAAAUAGAAAAAUCUUGUCGGCUUUCACAGGUUAAAAAUUCUUAACAGAUUUUGAUGAAACUUCACAGGAGUGAUCAGUACCAAGUAUCUAUUUGCAUAUCACCGACACUUCCCAUUUUGCUGCACAAAAUAGCCGCCACAGCUAAAGUAUACAUAGGUGGGAGACAUGUUUUGUCAUAAAAAUACCUAAAACACCUUCCACUUUGUUAAUGAAAAAUGUAACAAACUUCUUACAAUUGCAAACUGUAAUAAUUUGACAUUAAAUGCACUAGUUCCAUAACUGCAUUUGGCUUUUUUCAUAAUUAUUGCCCUUUUCUUACCAUAGCAAUAUUUUGUGUAACAUGUUACCUCAUUAAGCAUCAUAAGAUCAGAAAGGUCUAUGACUCAGAAAUGUUGGCCCUUUUGUACUUGUCAUGAGUAUGUUUUCAGUAUUUUAAAUUGUCAUUACUUUUUGUUGUUCCAGUUUACGGAAAUGAAGACUUAGUUGUCCAAAUGAUGUGCCUGUCCAGAUUUGUUUGUCUGGACAAUAUAUUAUUGAUAAGUCUUCACGAAACUUUGCAGGUUAAUUUCCUUAAGUUCCCUGUCAAUUUUGAUAGAGGCACGGUUACUUUAGAAACACUAAAGUGAUGUCACCACUGUACUAGUCAGACGUUUUGUAUUUCAGAUUUUAUAUCACAUUACAGGCUACUGGUCUUUAGCAGCCUCCAUAAAACUUUCAUAAAAGUUUCCAAAAAUGUUGUAUUUUGAUUUGAACUGGCAUUAUUCAAACAGUAAGAAGUAGUACUAUAAGGCAACAUUUCACCUCUUUUCCAUUUCUUUUUGAUUUUCUCUGUUACUAUGAAGUUGCCUUUUCCUAGAAAUUGGUUGGCUUAUUUUUGAUGAUCUUAUGUUUUUAAUCAAUUGUAGCUAUGUUCUUUAUCUCAUGAAAAUUUCCAUUUUUAUAUAAUUCAUAUUUUUUACUGUCAGCAAAGUGCAAUACCACAUACUUAUCACUUUCAUUAACAUACCUGUACUAUUUUUAUAAAACAUUAUAUAAAUCAUUAUAUUUCAUAUAAACAGAAUUAAAUAAAUAUUUAAGAACAUCAGUGUUUUCUUUUAUUGAUACAUGAAACAGACCAUAGGUCAAUUUAGGGUCAAUUCUGACACUUUAUACGCAAAUUGAUAAGGGAGGUAACUAGUACUGUCUUAAGUAACCAAUAUUUAGUUACACAGUUACCUUCCCUUUACACAGGUAGGACUAUUUGUUGUUGAUCAUCUUUUGAACAUUAUUCCAUUACUGAUGACAGAACAUUGAAAAUAAAAGUUGUUGUAUCAUGCCAUGACAUCAUAUAUGACAAUAUUUACUUUUUUAUUCCAUUUUUUAAAUAUUCUUUAAAUUAGGUACAAUGCCUACGCUUUUACUUACUUACUAACAAAACAGCUAUCUUACUGUAAUAAUAGUCUAAUAUUUUAUUAAUCUUAUCUGAUGCCUGAGCUUUUGUUUAAUACUUACUAAAUAGUUAAUUCACAAUGGUAUUUAUACUCAUUUAUUUCUUAAAUCUUUAAAAUGUCUUAAUUUUUAGACGUAAAAUUUUCUAUGUGUUUGUAAAACGCCAUUGAAUAUGUUUAAGGUAAAAAUAGGCGUUUAAUCAAAUAAAACAGCUUCAAGUUUCAAGUUUCAUCUUUGUCAACGUCCAAAUAUGACCUUACGUAUAGAACAGAAGUAAUGAACCGAGUAGGUAAGGAUAGUAAUAAAAACACCAAUGACAUCUUAGAUUUAUUUAUAUAUAUUUUGUAAAUCAGUCUAAUUUUAAUCAAAUACUAGCUAUGACGUAAAGAAUUCAUUUACAUUUAGCAAAUAGACUAUUUACAAUAUAUUGACAUCCAUACUGAUUUUUAUCUUCAAAUGAUUUUUCAGAAAUAUAUUGUAUGUCGCGCUUUUACUUUCAGUUUGAACUAGAUGACCGCCAUUUAGCAGGAAGUGAUACCAGGAUAUGAAAUUGUUCAGCAAAUUCCUAGCAUU